AGGAAAUUGCACAGGCAAUCAAAGCCCAGAUUGACAAGCGGGAUUACAUCAAAUUGAGAAGCUUCUGCACUGCAAAAGAAACAUUCAGCAAACUGAAGAGACAACUGACAGAAUGGGAAAAAUUAUUUGCAAACCAUGCAACUGAUAAAGGAUUAAUAACCAGAAUAUAUAAAGAGAUCAAGAAAAUCCACAGCAACAAAACAAGCAUCCCAGUUAAGAAAUGGGAAAAGGACUUAAACAGGCAUUUUUCAACAGAGGAAAUCCAGAUGGCCAAGAGACACAUGGAAAAAUGCUCAGGAUCACUAGCCAUAAGGGAAAUGCAAAUUAAAUGACAAUGAGGUUUCACCUCACCCCAGUUAGAAUGACUUCCAUACAGAAAUCAACAAACAACAAAUGCUGGCAAGGAUGUGGGGAAAAAGGUACCCUAAUUCACUGUUGUUAUGAAUGUAAACUGGUAAACCCACACAAGGAAGACACUAUGGAGAUACCCCAGAAAUCUGAAUAUAGAUCUACCAUAUGACCCAGUCAUCCCACUCCUGGGAAUUUACCCAAGGGAAAUGAAAUCAGCAUAUGAAAGAGUUAUCUGUAUCCCCAUAACUACUACAGCUCAACUCACAAUAGCUAAGAUAUGGAAUGAACCCAAAUUUCCAUCAACUGAAGACUGGAUAAAGAAAUUAUGGGCUUCAUUACCUUUUCCACAAUGGGUUGUAUCACUUUAAAAAGCAAUCGGAAUGCUAAAGAAGCUCUCUGCCGUGGCCUG